UACGGGGGGAGCAAGCGUUGUUCGGAAUUACUGGGCGUAAAGGGCUCGUAGGCGGCCAACUAAGUCAGACGUGAAAUCCCUCGGCUUAACCGGGGAACUGCGUCUGAUACUGGAUGGCUUGAGUUUGGGAGAGGGAUGCGGAAUUCCAGGUGUAGCGGUGAAAUGCGUAGAUAUCUGGAGGAACACCGGUGGCGAAGGCGGUUCUCUGGGCCGUACCUGACGCUGAGGAGCGAAAGCGUGGGGAGCGAACAGG
rnacentral:rRNA from 1 species